UGAGGAAUAUUGGUCAAUGGGCGGAAGCCUGAACCAGCCAAGUCGCGUGAGGGAAGACGGUCCUACGGAUUGUAAACCUCUUUAGCCGGGGAGUAAAGUGCGUGACGGGUCACGCAUUGAGAGUACCCGGAGAAUAAGCAUCGGCUAACUCCGUGCCAGCAGCCGCGGUAAUACGGAGGAUGCGGGCGUUAUCCGGAUUUAUGGGUUUAAAGGGUGCGCAGGCGGCUCGUCAAGUCAGCGGUGAAAGCCCGGGGCUCAACCCCGGUAAGCCGUUGAAACUGGCAAGCUGGAGUUCGGGCGAGGCAGGCGGAAUGCGCGGUGUAGCGGUGAAAUGCAUAGAUAUGACGAAGAACUCCGAUUGCGAAGGCAGCUGACGGGAGCGUUACUGACGCUUAAGCUCGAAAGU
rnacentral:rRNA from 1 species